AAUGAACGUUGGCGGCAUGGAUUAGGCAUGCAAGUCGCGCGAUAAGAUUCCUUCGGGAAUCCGAAAGCGGCGAAAGGGAGAGUAACGCGUAGAUGAUCUACCCCGAGGACUGGGAUAGCGGCGGGAAACUGCCGGUAAUACCAGAUGAUGUCUCCGGACCAAAGGUGUGAUUCCGCCUUGGGAUGAAUCUGCGUCCUAUUAGCUAGUUGGUGAGGUAACGGCUCACCAAGGCGAAGAUGGGUACCGGGUGUGAGAGCAUGACCGGCUCACUGGGACGUGAGACACUGCCACGACACCUACGGUGGGCUGCAGUCGAGAAUCUUCGG
rnacentral:rRNA from 1 species